AAAAAGACAAGUGAUGCCAAUUACGUUUACACAUCCUGUACCUUUACGUGUGAAGGUGACGAACUGAUAUCUUUACAAAACAACGAACCAUGCUACCUGACGAAAGGAAAAGAGACGUCAUCGAAUACAAAGCGCAGCGGACCUACUGGACAGUGUGUGGUUGGGACAUGUGUUCCAAAUGAAGCGAAAACUGGAGUCUAACCUCCGACAGUGAUGGUGACAGUGAUGGCAAUAACUAUGCUGACAAGCUAUUAUCAUUCUUGUAUAGUUGCUG